rnacentral:lncRNA from 1 species
GACAAAACACAUUACCCACCACAGGCUAUUGAAAAACACCCAGAGGUUGUCUCCUCAUAGAAGAGUCCACCGUAUUACUACAGGAAGUAGCUCCUCAGGAACAGGACAUGGGGCAAGAAGAAGGGAAUCCAGAAACAGCAAAGAACCAUUUUGCACUGAAAGGAAUGUUUUCUUGAUGGACAGCUGUGGUUGCAGAUCAGCCUCGGAACUUAGGUCUGCCCUCCUGUAAGACCUGUAAGGUUACUGGCAAGGUGGAGUAUUGUUCACUGAUAAAAGAGCUUGUCCGUUUGAUGUUCUCUCUCAUUUGUAUCAGUUUGAUGUUCUCUCUCAGGUGUAGAGUAAUACCUAGACAGACUCUUUAUCCUGUAUGCCACCAAAGCCAGGUUACAAACCAAGAAAGGGUCAUAAUAGCCAGUGAGCAAAUGGGUACAAGGUAGGAAAACUGGCACAAGCCAAGUCAGGCCUAGAGUUCAGUUUUGAAAAUGGGUCAAAACAGACCAUGGUUUCAGUGGAGGAAAAUAGACUAAAAUAUUUUCAGUGGUUGGGGGGCGGACUAGAUUCAGGCUAAGGCUAUUCUGCACUGAUUCUUUUGUAACUUAUUUCAAGUCUCAGAUAAUUGCAAAUUA